rnacentral:rRNA from 1 species
GGCCUAACACAUGCAAGUCGAGCGCGAAAGGUCCUUCGGGGCUGAGUAGAGCGGCGGACGGGUGAGUAACGCGUAGGAAUCUACCUGGUAGUGGGGGACAACUCGGGGAAACUCGAGCUAAUACCGCAUACGCCCUGAGGGGGAAAGCGGAGGAUCUUCGGACCUCGCGCUAUCGGAAGAGCCUGCGUAGGAUUAGCUUGUUGGUGAGGUAAUGGCUCACCAAGGCGACGAUCCUUAGCUGGUCUGAGAGGAUGAUCAGCCACACCGGGACUGAGACACGGCCCGGACUCCUACGGGAGGCAGCAGUGGGGAAUAUUGCGCAAUGGGGGAAACCCUGACGCAGCCAUGCCGCGUGUGUGAAGAAGGCCUUCGGGUUGUAAAGCACUUUAAGCAGGGAGGAAAGGAUUGCGGCUAAUACCCGUAAUCUGUGACGUUACCUGCAGAAUAAGCACCGGCUAACUCCGUGCCAGCAGCCGCGGUAAUACGGAGGGUGCAAGCGUUAAUCGGAAUUACUGGGCGUAAAGCGCGCGUAGGCGGUUUGUUAAGUCGGAUGUGAAAGCCCUGGGCUCAACCUGGGAACUGCACCCGAUACUGGCCGACUAGAGUACGAGAGAGGGAGGUAGAAUUCCACGUGUAGCGGUGAAAUGCGUAGAUAUGUGGAGGAAUACCGGUGGCGAAGGCGGCCUCCUGGCUCGAUACUGACGCUGAGGUGCGAAAGCGUGGGGAGCAUACAGGAUUAGAUACCCUGGUAGUCCGC